ACGGUCCCGGGUCUGGGAUCGCUGCAGAGCCACGUCCAGCUGAGUGUGGUUGUUUUACAGAAAAAAAAGGAUGGUUUUGGGAAAGCUUGGGGCUCUGGGAAUCGGGGGAGCUGGUGGUGCUUUGCCAGAGGCUCCUCUGAGCUGCUCUUUGGGUUCCAGGGUUUCUCUCAUGGAAUCACGGGAUGGAUGAGGCUGGACGGGACCACAGGAGGUCACCCAGUCCCACCCUGUGCUCACAGAGGGUCCCCUCGAGCGCAGAACUCCGGGCUGUGUCCGGCUGGGGACAGGGACAGGGACAGGGACAGGCACAACCUGCGCUGCUCUGGAGGUGGCGAUGAAGGAUGUGAGGGACAGACGAGGCUGGGAGAGCCUUGAGACCCUCCUGGAACAUUCCAGAAGCCGUGGUGAGCUUUGGGAAGGGCCGGGGCACAGCACCUGCAGCCCCGGAUCUCAAUAAGCUGUGAAGCAAAAGCCUUUUGUGCACAUGAACCAAAAAGAGAAGCUUUGACACUGAAACACUUCACGGGCACAACCGGCCCUGGGGGGAAAGCAGGAGCCAGAUCUGAGCCCUGGGAUUUCUCUUUGCCUGUGAUGUAAUGGAUCAUUCCCAUGUGGAACAUCCUGCAGCAGGGGACAUGGGGACAGGGCUGGACCCGCCACUGCUCCUCCUCGGGGAGGUUUGUGGAGGGAUCAGAGCCCUGAGGGCUCCCUCUGGGAGGGUCCUGGGCCUCCCUGAGCCUGCAGAGCUGCGCAGGGAUGUCACCCCCUGUGAUUCCUGUCCCCUUGUCCAGCUGGGAGCUCCAGUUCCACGCUCAGCCCCGUGUUGGGAGCUCCGGGGCGGUCACUCCGUGCCUGGUUCCGUUCCUGCUCCACCUCUGUGGGCAAAACCUGCUCCCUCCUGUCCCUGGUGAGCACAGGGACACCCACCUACCUCCCCUGGGCCGGCCUGAGAUCCAGGUCUCUCAUCAGAGUAAUGAAGCAGAAGGAAGAACAAGAGUUGAAGUUGCUGUCUAACCUUUUCGUUAAGUUAAUCGUAGGUACUGACCUCCUGCUAUUUAAGUGUUUACUAUCUAUUUGCUGUAAAGUUUUGUAUAUUUUGUAAACUUUUCCCCCCCAGAUCGUAGAUGUCUAAAAUCGUUGUACAUCGGGUUCUUUUCUACUCCAUUGUUCAGCACAAAGUGUGGUUUUUAUUUAGAAUAAUAAAAAGGAAAACGUUGA